UACGGAGGGGGCUAGCGUUGUUCGGAAUUACUGGGCGUAAAGCGCACGUAGGCGGAUUGUUAAGUCGGGGGUGAAAUCCUGGAGCUCAACUCCAGAACUGCCUUCGAUACUGGCGAUCUCGAGUCCGGGAGAGGUGAGUGGAACUGCGAGUGUAGAGGUGAAAUUCGUAGAUAUUCGCAAGAACACCAGUGGCGAAGGCGGCUCACUGGCCCGGUACUGACGCUGAGGUGCGAAAGCGUGGGGAGCAAACAGG
rnacentral:rRNA from 1 species